rnacentral:rRNA from 1 species
UACGUAGGUGGCAAGCGUUAUCCGGAAUUAUUGGGCGUAAAGCGCGCGCAGGCGGUUUCUUAAGUCUGAUGUGAAAGCCCACGGCUCAACCGUGGAGGGUCAUUGGAAACUGGGGGAACUUGAGUGCAGAAGAGAAAAGCGGAAUUCCACGUGUAGCGGUGAAAAUGCGUAGAGAUGUGGGAGGAACACCAGUGGCGAAGGCGGGCUUUU